rnacentral:lncRNA from 1 species
ACUCAGGACAUUCCAUUGGGCUAGAGAGGGAGAACUACUCAGCUGGCUUACUGAAAGACACAGGUGUGGGACUUCAUCAGCAGAUGCAAGCCUGGAGCCACCUCACAGCAGAGAGGAGUAGGAACCCUGAGUAUGGAAGCCCCUUCCUCUCCUACACCAAGUUACUCACAGCACCAUGAUGGGCAGCAGUAGAAGGAUUAGAAACCACACCGCCCUGAUAAGAGUUGAAAUUUGCUUCAACUGGCUCUUAAGCUGACAUGAGAUUGUGCUAGUUGGAAGAUACCAAGAUACUCUUAAAAGAGAAGAUGAAGUUCUCUUGUUUCAACCCCUAUUACUAUUGACUGUCAACUUCCCAAAAGAUCCCAGAAAAACAUGUUAAUGGAACAAAACUAAGUUUAUUAGAUUUACUGUAGUAUAAGAGAAUACCACCUUGGUAGAGUCUUGAUAGUGUCUCAGGUUGACAAAGUCAAGGUCUGCACUGGAGGACUUCUAAGGUAGCUUCUGCAAGGUGGGGAGUAGCUUGGGACUGGGCAGGGUUUCUACCCUAACAAUUCUCAAUUGGUAAUCCCUGCAAGGCCAAGGAUCCUGAAGCAAAUCUUGAUAAGAAAGAUACUGGAUUUGAUAAGCUAGCUAUUUUAGUGGAUUUACUGCCUCAUUUUUGGUAAGCAAGUCUUCCUGAAGUAAGCAGGCUUUGGAAUAAGAUGAAGUCACCCAAACUCCAUUGUGAAAUCUAGUCUCCUUGCAAUCCGUCUGACCUCAGAGAGGCAAACAAAAUGUCUGUUUGGGAGAUGGUACAGAUGAGGAAAUGGAAGCCUACGGAUCUAGGUUCUCUGGACCAGACCACCGCAGCAGAGACCUGUGUUUUCUCCUGGGGAUUCAGAAACCCCACUCCCCUUGCCUUCAGAGGCGCUGCCUCCUUCCAUUGUGGGGCAGAGGUGAAGAAGCAAAGAAAGUGUCCCUUUCAUCCUCGCUAUAGAAUGAAAAUUCAUCACCACAAUUACUCACCAAACCUGAGAGGAGGACAGAAGAAAACAUGUUUACAUUACUUUUUCUUUCAUUAAAAAGCAACACGUGUUUUUGCCAAUCAGAUAGAAAACACAGAUGCAGAAAAAGGAAUUGUGUUGGACCCAAUGGACAGUGGUGUUUUCUCAGUGCAUCACCACUGGGUCAUCUGAGGCAGAAAACAACAGGAGCUUCUGGCCAUAUGGAGUUGCCCAGCUGGGGAGGGAUGUAGAUGCCAUAAUGAGAGGCAAUGUGAUUGUCUCUUGUUCACACCCCAUGUUUCUCUCCCACCUGGGCUUCAGAACCAAGCGGGCAAUUUCUUGCUGUCCAAAGAGUAGAUUCUAGGGAACGUGACAAAUGUAUAUAGAUGGUUGCCUCUGUCACUAAGAAAUUGCUUGUAACAAAGGAAGAUUUUUCCUGUUUUGAAAAAGACCAGUUUCCCUCCUCCCAGUGAGGGUGGAGUGUCUGUACCCAGUCUCGCAUGUGCUGCUUUCUUCCCAUUAGAAAAAGGAUGUUAGGCAAACUAGAGUGGAAUACAAAUGUGGAUUUUUAAAAAAUGUUUAUUUUUAAAUGAGCAAUGAGCAAUUCAGCCCGGUCUCUAUUAUUUUUUCUUGUUGAUUAGGAUGGAGAUUUGGAGACAUUGACAUUCCCAAAUAUCAAAGAAAGUUGCCACAAGUAAAGAAAAUUACUGGGGCAGGAAUGAAAACAUAGCCA